rnacentral:lncRNA from 1 species
GAAGGCUUUGCUGAGGUCUGUUUGCACCCAGCUCCGCUUGGCAGCUGGGGAGCACCUUGCCAUUCAUUGGCACUGAGGAAAGGCCAGGUGAGUGGAACCUGAAUGGAAUGCCCCGCGGCUACCGGAUGGACGAACAUGCAGGAAGCAGAACAAAGGGGUGGCAUUUUAUCAGCAGUAGAAUCCUGAUUGCAGUCAUGGCCCAAGGGGAAACCGUUUGCUUUUAUUUUCUUUCUAGCCUUCCUUUUCCCUCGUAACACCUUCCAGCCAUCCAGGUGAUUACCUUACCUGCCUACCGUCUAGACUCAGUGUUUUCCCUGGCGUCCAUGUUGCAGGGGGCAAGGUCACCUCGGAAGGGACUUCCAGGACAGAUGGGAGCCAUGCCAACAAGAAAGUAAGUCACAGUCCAAAACCCCGAAGCAUGCCUGUGUUGCUACUGCACAGAGAAUAAAAUGGCUCGAUUUUUACUAUGUGACCUUGAACAGAACUCUCCCUUCCGCCCAGCAUGCAGAAGACAUGGUGGUCCUGUGUAAAGCUGGCUACGUUCAGCUACACACAUCUGCUUUCUAAUUGUCUCUGUUACUGUCCCCUGCAGCUGGCCUCCUCCCCUUUCUCGCUUUUAAAAUAUCACCUCUCAACAUAUCGUGAGGAAGACCAAACCCUUAGACUCAGAUGUUCCAGAAACCUGACAUAUUAGUUGUGCUUUGAAUAUGCCUGGCUACUUCUCAUCUGCUUUUUUUUCUUGGUCGCAUGAACACUGCUGUAAACAAAAUCUGUGUUUUUCCUUGAGGUCACCAUUGAACAAGCUUCACAAGCAUUUCACUAUAGUUCAGGAACAUGAAGGAUCUGAUGUUUUCUUGUUCCAUACCUACACACAUGCACCAACAUGUGUGCGCACACACACACAGAGCCAUGGAUCGUUUGAACUUUCCUAGAACUACCAGAGUUCCUUAGCAACAUAACUGAAAACAUGGCAAUACCCUUUGGAUCUCCAAGUUCUGAACUCACUAUGUGAAUUGCUCAAGAGGUACAUAACUCAAGGCUUCAAGACCUCGUUUUACCAAAAGAUAUCUUAGUAGGCACUAGUCUACAGAACUUUCUUACAGAGCAGGGCACCUGUAUCAGCUGUCCCGUGUGGGAGCCAGGCUCACCUUAGCCAGCAGGGCUGGGCGCUGACAUAGAUCACAGACAAGCAGGGCAGACAGUUCCUCGAUCCUGAGGAAUAAGCACAACCCAGCUCCUAAAGAGCGGUCUCAGGAUCCUUAUUACCUGAUGAGCUCAUUCAGAAAAAGGUGGUGGGAGACAUGCAGCCAAUUGAUCUUAAAAAUAGAAAAAAAAAUGGACAAAGUGCCCACAUCUCCUCCCAUUUUCCUGGCAGAGGAUGGGAGUUGAUCAAGUGGGAGAAAUAAGAGGAACAAUAACUGCUCAGAGAAGAAGAAAUGAAAAAGACUAGUACACACGAGCUGGAGCAGAAGAAAGGGCAAAACCAAGCAGAAUGAUCUUUGGAUAAGAAUGGAAUUACAUAAUACAGCGCCCAUAACACAUAAAGUGCUCUGCCCCACAAAUCACUUCUCUACCAAGAAUUAGAAGGUGCACAAUAAACACAAAAAUCAAUUAAGGUCUGGAGAAGGCCUCCAUUCCCCCUGAAGGGGCUUCAUCUUAUCCAAACGCAGUUGACUUUCACAGGUGCGGUCAGGCUGCCUUGGAAAGGGUAUUUUUUUUUCUUUUUAUUAUCAUUUGCUCAUAGAGUGAGUGAUUGUUCCAAUUUUAGUCUGCAAAGAAAGGUUAGACAGGAGGAGUAGAAUGUUCUUUCACUUAGAAAAUAAUCUAAUCCGUCCCAUUGCCUGAGGCUCCCUGGGCCUCUGCUGCUGCUCCUGCUUGGAAGAGCAAGGACCAGCCACACAAGUGACCAGCGGCUUGGUGGCCACGAGACCAGUAUUACCUCAUCUUCCCCACAAGACUACACCAUCCCAAGCACCCCCAUCCAGAAAAGGCAGAGAACAGCAGCACAAUGCUUGGCCCACAGGAAGCACAAAAUAAAUAUUCACAGAGGGAACAGGAAACAAGAAAAAGUUCUCCAACCCAACGAGAGAAAACACCAGAGUCACAGUGCUCCUGUCACUAGCCACAAGAUACCCGAGCAGGGCAGCUCACCUCUUGUGGAACAACUCAACCUGUGUUUGUUGAAUGAAUAAGAAAAAGAAAUAGCUUUGAAACUUAGAAAUAAAAACAUUUUGGGAGGGAAUCAGUUGUAUUUUUAUUAGACUAACUAUGCCAUUUAAGGAAUUUGGUAAUAAAGUUUUUGAAAAAUAGAAGUCUUAUUUUUCAUACAAAACUGGAUUUUGGUAAUAUGGGGUUCGCCUAAAGAUGAGAACACACCCACGUAUUUUCUUUGGACUCAAAGUACAAGUACUUUGUACAAGUACAAAAUAAAGGAAAAUAAUCGAAAGUGCUUUCACGGUGAGGGUGUUUGCUAUCAAAUUAAUUGGCCCUGGUGUGGCGGAUCACCUCCCAAGGUGUGCAAGCGUGGUUGGUGAAAAUCCAGAACCAGAGGUAAGGAACUAGUGCCAGGGUCAGAGCUUAACCUCCUGAGCUGGGAUUCUGACCAAAUUAGGUCUCGUUGGACCUCAGGAGCAGCCCUCUGCCUUCCAGAAAGGAGGUGGACAGUGGCUAUUUUGGUCUGUCUGCCCAUCUGGUCCGCUGCGGCUGAUGAGGUCAGCCACUCAGCUCCAGGCCAGGCCGGUGACGGGGUGCCUCCUCUGUUAGCCGGCCAUCCCACUCGGACAAGAGCCCUCAGAGAAUCCUGCAGGGACCCAGCAAGAAAGUUCCGGAGGGCAGAUGAACACUCACCACCACCCUGGCCUAAGUACAGUCCCAAGCUAUGGGUCAGUGGCAUUCCUGUCAUUGAAGAAGGGGACAGUACAUCAGAACUUGACAGAGGAACAGGCCCCAAACUGUUGUCCCCAAAUAAAAAAACUCACAUCAACAGGAAUAUAAAAAUGUUACUUAGAACUUCUGUUCUCAGAUGUUUAACACAAGGGAGAGAUUGUUGUGCCAGGGAACGCCGUGGUCCAGUGUUCACAAAGCCAGAAUUCUCUCGCUGAGCAUUCUGUUUCCAAAACACUAAGGAAUACAGCAAGAUUUCAAGACGGGGGAAAGAAGCUUCCUCUGGGAACAGGAGAGAAAGCUGAAAUCCUUCACAGAGGGGCUGAAAUCCUCCCAAGAAAACGCAAGGCUCUGAGCGACCGUGGGCUCUGCGGGCAGGGCAGCCAGUGGGUACGGCGAGUCCGCCCGCCCGCCCGCCCGUGCCCAGAUCUGUGGAAGUGGUAUGGGGUGGGAGGAAGCAGGCCUGGGAGGUUUUAAAGCAACACAACAUCCUAGUAACAGAGCAUGCGAACCGGAGAACCUCAAGCACUUUUAAAAAUAAGUUCCUUGGAGGCCUGGGAGUGUAGCUCAGGGGUAGAGCACCUGCCUAGCAUGCGCAAGGCCCUGGGUUCCAACCAGCACCGCAAAAAAAAAAAAAAAAAGAAAAGAAAGAGAAAAGAAAAGAAAGUAGCCCUUUGGGUCCAGGAUUCCAGGCAGUUUGGUACAGUUUACCUUCACUGGGAUUGUUGGCCAGAAAGGAACGUGCACACGCGCCCCUUUACUACUCAUCCCAAGGAGACCUCCUUCAUGAAGGUGGUGUGGGGGUAGCAGGAUGGCUGACAGUGACCUCUCUUGAAUGUCCACCAUAUCCAAAUGCGUUGCAGAAGGAAGAGCCAAAAGCCCCAAGCAGAAAGAAAACUCCACGGUAUCCAUUUGUUUCCUCUUAUUUUUAAUCUCCUUACUUUUCAACUUUUCCACUGAAAACAGUCACAUUACUGUCCUUCAUCCUCUCCCCUUUAUGGAACAGGAAGGUUCUGGAAGGCAGUGCAACAUGGAUGGAGAUGCCAGGCUUGGAAUCCAGGUUCCCCCACCUCAUCCUGGCCCCACUGCACUGUGGGAUCAGUGAAUUUAGUCCACUUUCCUUCAACUCAAUUUCCUCAUCCAUAAAAUGGAGUGAAGAUGCCCUGCUUCAAUUCCUUACAAAUCAAAGCGUAGUAAAUGAUAAAGAGAAGUGUCCGCACGCAGGUUCCUGCCUCACCCAUCCCUGAGCCUGCCCACAGCAGACACAUGCUAAAUUUAAUAAGACAGUAAAAUACUUUAAUUCCUCUAGUUUUUCCUGAUAAUAUGUCCUCUGCCUUUCCCCCUAAUCUCUCUGCCUGUCUCUGAGCAAGCACACUUCAGAUGAGGCAGGAGACCAUUAUACAUACCCUCCCUAUAAAUCGUGACACUGUGCACCAAGCAUUGUUUUAAUUAAUGGUCAGGAUGGUGGUAAAAUUGAAAUGAGAUGAUGGUGCACACACCCCACCACCAGCGGCAUGUCCUACCUCUGAAAUUUCAAGGAGCGCCUUUGUUAAAAUAUACAAAGGAAAUACUUAAAGAGGUAAAGGAGGAUAGAAGGCAACAACAGAUAUAAAAGUCAGGAAGGUCAAAUUCUCAGCUUUGUCUCCAAAUUUGUCUUCAAAUUUUUUGAAGAGCAUGCAUAAUAUUAAACAUAUUUAAGGAGUCAAAAAAUCAUAGCAACUAAUAAGUAUUAACAUAAGCUGACACAUAUGAAAUUUUAAGGUGAUUAUCCACUUGAAAAAGAUAUUACUAUAAUUCCUUUUGACAGGCGGCUGAGAACGAUGACAGACCGGAGUGACGUCCGGCUCCUACAGCCAGUACCACGCCCCAACCCCUUGCUUCUCUCAACUCACUUGGGCAAAAACACUCACGGGGCACCUGCACGCGGCAAACGUGGUUUCAGGUCAGAAUGAGCAAGGGAUCCAGUUGAAGUGGCCGCCCUCUGAGGCCCUGGGGCACCACAGGGCAGCAAUGUCCACAGAGCAGAGCUGCAGAGGCAGGAGGGGCCACGGGGGGCUCAAAGGGAAGAUCAGGGACUCUCACUAGUGACCCGUGGAUAGGAUGAGAUGCCCGAGGCGCCAGGGCCCUGGAGGGGUGGGAGCACAGCUGUGGGGCACGUGGAGAAGCACCUGCAGCCCUCCAGGUGGCUCCAGCCAGAGCCCCGGGUCUUUCCCUCUUGAAUCAAAACAAACAGCCAAGCACUCAAAGCCAGCACUGGGCCCUGCAGCAGGUCCGCUGGGGAGCGGGGUCUGGAGGAAAGGCCCCGCAGUGAGAGGACCUCAGAGGAGGUAGAAGUCGGGAGCUAUAAUGAGCUGGGAGGGAGAGACCCAUUUCUCACAACUGCACAGGAGGCCCUUCCCCACGGUGUCGCAUUUGAUCUUCGUGGUGACCGUAACCCUAGGUGUAGCACUUACUAACCCGUUUUAAAAUCUCAUCCGAGAUUACAGAACUAGUUAGAGAUGGAGCCAGGGCAGCUGGGUCAGUCUGACUUUGGGAUCUGUUUUCUAAACUAUGGUACUACUUCUCUAUUUGCAGCAGCUUCACACAGACACAGGNGAUGGCAUAUCCCUAUGAUGGCCUAUUAUUUAGACAUAAAGGAGAAGAGGAAGUGCUUAAUAUAUUGAUAUGGAACAAGCCGCAAGGCACACUGCUCACCAAACAAAGCAAAUUAAAAAUGGCAAUCGAAGUGUGUGAUCACGAAUGGAAAACAACACCUCAUGCAGACACAAGCAUAUCUGUGUGCACCCCUGGGAAGGUACACAAGGGACUGGCAACAGUAGGCGCUUUGAGGGAGAGAUGGGUGGCGGGGGAGCAAGGUCAGGAAGGAGACCUCCUGUUGCUGAACUGUGUACUCUUUGAGUCUCUUGCAUUUAUAUUAUGUGCUUAGAUUACCUACUCAAAAAAAUUAACAUAUAUACACACAUAUGUACACACACACACACACACACCUAUCACUUACAAAUCAAAAUCAAGUGCCAAAGAGUCUUCUGGCCGUCAACGCUGUGUGAACUUAGGCAAGUGGUUGCUUCACUAUUUAGAAAGGGUCUGUUUGUUCAUUCAUAAAAUUGAGAUGAUCGUCCUUCCUUCCUCCCAAGGCUAAGAGGAGCCAAUGAAUGGAUGUAUGCAAAGUCCUUAGAUGAGUGCCUGGUACGUAGUGAACAAAUGCAAGCAUAAGUGCUUCUUAAAUAAGUGUUGGCCAAGGAAGAUGUCUCUAAAAAGUGACAUCUAAGGUCACCUCAGAAAGAAGUAGGAAUGAGAUAAGAAGUGGGAAGCAGGUGAGGCAGGACGUAUGGCUCAGAGGGACUAGCAUGUGCAAAGGUCAGGGGGUGGGAAAUGCCCUGGUGUGUUCCAGGCAGCCUGUCGGGGUGGAGGUGGGAGGGCAGGGUACAGCCAGAGUCGUGGCUACUGACCUGCAAGGGACCAGUCACAACAGUUUCCCUGAGGUGGUGGGCAGCCAAUGGAGCCUUCUAGGCAGGGGAAUUCCACAAUUGGACUGACUUUUCUAGAAAGAUCUCUCUGGCCACAGUCUACAGGACUGUCUGGGUGAGAGAGGCCACCUGGAGAGGGUCGCAGUAACUUAGGGAAGAAGUGAUGUGGUUGUGAACUAAGAUGGUGGCAGUGAGCCAGGACAAGGGAAGGAGUCAGGAGACAUGAAGGAGGUGAAUGGACCAGGUAGGUGACCUGGGUGGGGGCUGGAGGUGGGCAGAAGAUGAAUCAAGGAUGACUCCAAGUUCUGACUUGGUCAGUUUGGAGAUCCGUGACACAACUGAGACAAGAGUGCAGAGAAAGGACCUGGUGAGAAGAGGGGUGAGAUGGUGACAUGGUCCUAGAUGGGCUGAGGGUCAAGUAUCUCACAGGGUCUAGUGAUCAGUUAGCCACAGGGUCUAAAUUUCAGAUAAAAGUCCAGGCCUGGAAACCCUGCUUUGGGAGGUACCAGGCAUGUCUUCAAUAUUAAAGGAUUUGGUUCAAGCAAGACACUUUGGAGAAGUGUUACCUGAAGCAGGCAGCUCCUGGCCCCUUCCUUCUCCCCUCCACUGCCUCCCUCUGUCCUGCCCACCCCUCCCCGCAGCUUUCCCCCUUCCUAAAAGGACAACAGUCCUCACAAGAGGUUUCCUGACAUGCUGAUGGGAAGUGGUCGCUCUGACCAGCCCCAGCCCAUCAGUGCCAAAGCCUUUAUUUUUCCCAGUUUGUGCCUCUAUUUGUACACAGUAGAAGCCACCAGGAAGUGGUCACAGUUGUGUAAGUGCAUCUCCACACCAGCAGGAGCAUCCUGAAGACCUUAUUUUUCAGACAGGGGAUUGGUGUCCAGCCCUUUCCCGAGAGAGGGGGUUGUGCCAGGUGUGCUGUCCAGCUGUUUCUCAGAAGGAGCACUCUGGGGUUUUCUCUCUGCUGAGGGGUCUUCAGCAAAACCAACCCCCACCUAAGGCUGAGCUACCAACAAGUUUACUAAGAGACCUUAGGAUUGAUACAUGUUUUUCUUCCAGGAAAAUACAAAUCACGUGUAAGCAAGAUUCUGGAGCAAUUUUGCCAAGUGGGGUCUGGAGCCAGAACUGCAGAAGGCCAGCUUUCUCCUCCCUCACCGCAGUGACCCUGACCUCUCAGCUUCAGUUCUCUCACCUAGAAAAGUGGGAUUAACUGCUGGACCAUCUCCAAAUCUCCUUCUGGCUCUAAAAUUUUGUGAGUUUAGCUUCAGGAAGGGACGUUAAUACAACACUUCAAAGCUAUUAUUAGACAUUAAAAGAAAUUUAAUUUUGGAAACUGAUUUCUUAACUGGGUGCCAGAAAUGGUAUCAUUGUGUUCUCUGCAAAAUUGUUGAAAUGGCAAGUAUGUGCAUCCCAAAGGGAAAUCCCUACUAUGAUAUUGUAGCAGAUGCUCAGUGUUCAGAUUCCAUGUUUGCCAAAGAAGCCAUGCCUUUUCACAGCCUGAAGAAGGCAUAGGAGUGGACUCACAGGGGAGAGACAGUGGCAGCGGACCACGGAGUUGCUACUCAAUCUUUAGCUACGUAAGUGAUAGGCUUGUAUGUUAAGGCAUAGGACAGAGCAUUCAUUCUGCCAAGAAAUCAACAGUGUAUUUUCCCCCUUACAAAGGUUUGUGUGACUUGUGGGUGCAAGCAAGAAACAUGAACAAGGAGACGGACACCAGUAAUGACCCUCAGACUUCUCUUUCUGGUAGGGGCCAUGUGAUCACACAGAUGAAUUCAAGCUUUAGUUGCUAAAAAUAGUCACAAAGGCUGGGACACAGCGGUCCAUGGCUGUAAUCCCAGGCGCUCAGAAGGCUGAGGCAGGAGGGAAGCUAAAAGCAGGAAAAUCACAAGGACCAGGCCAACCUGGGCCACUUAACCUUAUCUUGUUAAAAUAAAUAAUUAAAUAAAAAGGGCUGGGGUGCAGCUCAGUGGUAAAGUGCCUCUAGGUUCAAUCUCUAGUACCGCUAUACAAGGAAAUAAUAAAAAUUAAAAAAUAACCACAAGGAUUUUCAGCUAAAGCUCAACACAAAGAAAAAAAAAUAUCAAGAAGAAAAUGGUCAUUUUUAUGGAAAAGACCAUUUUUCCUAUGUUAGUCAAAUUGUAAUUGCUCUAGAAUAUGUAGACUUUUAGUAGAUGGCAAAACAUGUCAGAGUCUCAUGGACUUGUAAUAUUGUAUCUCAGAAGAUAUCAUGUACCCUUACAAAUCAAAACCUGAUUCAGUUAAUUUUAAAUGCAUUAUUUUGAAAAAUAAUUUCAGUUGAAAUUAGAUUUCAGCAAUGUUUUUGGUAAUCAUCUGAAGAAGAAUAUUACGUAUCUUCUAACAUUGGUAGCAUCUCUACUGUUAAUACACAGCUAUAUAAAAAUUAGUUAUCUAAUUUACUAGAAACAGAUAUAAUUUCCUAGUGCUUUGAAGGAUUAGAGGGAGAUAUGCACAAAUGGGCUUCCAUCUUUGAA